rnacentral:pre_miRNA from 17 species
UGAAGGCCCAAGAUCUGAACUGUCCUUUUUCAGUUAUCACGGUACCGGUGCUGUUUCUUCAAGAGGUACAGUACUGUGAUAACUGAAGAGUGGCAGUGCCAUCACAAGACUGUUGAA